AUACGAAGGUGGCGAGCGUUGUUCGGAUUUACUGGGCGUAAAGAGCACGCAGGCGGACCACAAAGUCAGACGUGAAAGCCCCAGGCUCAACCUGGGAACUGCGCUUGAUACUGGUAGACUAGAGGCCGGGAGAGGGUAGUGGAAUUCCCAGUGUAGAGGUGAAAUUCGUAGAUAUUGGGAAGAACACCAGUGGCGAAGGCGGCUACCUGGACCGGACCUGACGCUGAGGUGCGAAAGCGUGGGGAGCAAACAGGAUUAGAAACCCCGGUAGUCC
rnacentral:rRNA from 1 species